rnacentral:rRNA from 1 species
UACUGCAUUUUUUCUUACCAUGUGUUUUUCUUUUUUUGAAAACUUUGCUUUGGUAGGCCAUCUAUAUGGGGCCUGCCAGAGAUUAAACUCAACCAAAUUUUAUUUAAUGUCAACCGAUUAUUUAAUAGUCAAAACUUUCAACAACGGAUCUCUUGGUUCUCGCAUCGAUGAAGAACGCAGCGAAAUGCGAUAAGUAAUAUGAAUUGCAGAUAUUCGUGAAUCAUCGAAUCUUUGAACGCACAUUGCGCCCUUUGGUAUUCCAAAGGGCAUGCCUGUUUGAGCGUCAUUUCUCCCUCAAACCCUCGGGUUUGGUGUUGAGCGAUACGCUGGGUUUGCUUGAAAGAAAGGCGGAGUAUAAACUAAUGGAUAGGUUUUUUCCACUCAUUGGUACAAACUCCAAAACUUCUUCCAAAUUCGACCUCAAAUCAGGUAGGACUACCCGCUGAACUUAAGCAUAUCAAUAAGCGGAGG